rnacentral:lncRNA from 1 species
UGUCGAAAAAAAGGAGGAACUUGAAAACGUUUCGUCGUUAGACUGUGCCCGGUUUUUUGGAGAUCGGUUCACCAGUGUUGUUCUCAGAGACAUGCCCCGACAGGGAAGCGAAGGCGUCUUUGCUUCUUCCACACCAGAAAUCCGCCGAAUUGCAGGGUCGGGGAGACGCGUUCCUCUGUCGUUUCGACCGUCGCUGUUUUUCAAAGGCGUUGUCCGUCUUUGCCGCUCUCACCCUGUCGUCUGUGUGUGUGUCGUAUGCCCCGCGAGAAGACCUCGUUUUGACUCCGAACGCGAACGAGUUUAGAAAGUUGAGUUGUCGGACGCGUGCGUUUCCUUGCGCUCUUUUUGCUGUGUCGUGGAAAACAGAGGCCGCCGGGUGUCCAGCAUAAUAAAAGAGCGUCGUUGUGUGGGUCCCCCGUCCUGCCGUUUUUUUGAACAGCCUUGCCCGAGUGAUCCCUUGUGUUGCCGCGCGUCACUUCUGGAAGUUUCGCACCUGCCUGAAAACACACCAGUCGCGCGUCUCUCUUUCUCUUUCUCUCUCUUUCUUUCUCUCUUUCGCUUUCUGCCGACUGCUCUGCGCCGAGUCGGAGCGCGUCGCCGCUCCGUGAGCUCUCCCGUUUUUCCCUCAGGCUCCGUUCUUCUCUCAGUCUCGCCCACACUCUCGAGGUUUCUUUCUGUUU